UCCGGAGUCCCCUCCCCAAGAGAUGUAUGCUCUUUGUUUCUUGACGGGUUUCUUCUCCUUUUUGGUAUUUGGACAGUUUUGUUUGAUAUGCCCGAUUUCUCCGCAUCCAUAGCACUUUAAUUGGUCUCCUUGUCGCUUACCUUUUCGUUCAUACUCCAUUCGCAUGAAUUUGUGAAAUUUCUUAAUAACGAGUCCGAACUCGUUAU
rnacentral:lncRNA from 1 species